rnacentral:rRNA from 1 species
AGUGAACGCUGGCGGUAGGCCUAACACAUGCAAGUCGAACGGCAGCACAGUAAGAGCUUGCUCUUACGGGUGGCGAGUGGCGGACGGGUGAGGAAUACAUCGGAAUCUACUUUUUCGUGGGGGAUAACGUAGGGAAACUUACGCUAAUACCGCAUACGACCUACGGGUGAAAGCAGGGGAUCUUCGGACCUUGCGCGAUUGAAUGAGCCGAUGUCGGAUUAGCUAGUUGGCGGGGUAAAGGCCCACCAAGGCGACGAUCCGUAGCUGGUCUGAGAGGAUGAUCAGCCACACUGGAACUGAGACACGGUCCAGACUCCUACGGGAGGCAGCAGUGGGGAAUAUUGGACAAUGGGCGCAAGCCUGAUACAGCCAUACCGCGUGGGUGAAGAAGGCCUUCAGGUUGUAAAGCCCUUUUGUUGGGAAAGAAAAGCAGCAGGUUAAUACCCCGCUGUUCUGACGGUACCCAAAGAAUAAGCACCGGCUAACUUCGUG